rnacentral:rRNA from 1 species
AGACGGAGGGUGCUAGCGUUGUUCGGAAUCAUUGGGCGUAAAGGGCGUGUAGGCGGAUCGUUAAGUCAUGCGUGAAAGCCCUCGGCUUAACCGAGGAAGGGCGUAUGAUACUGGCGACCUAGAGUUCGGAAGAGGGGGGUGGAAUUCCAGGUGUAGCGGUGAAAUGCGUAGAUAUCUGGAGGAACACCGGUGGCGAAGGCGACCCCCUGGUCCGACACUGACGCUGAGACGCGAAAGCGUGGGGAGCAAACAGAAUUAGAUACCCCGGUAGUCC